UGCAGAGGGUGCGAGCGUUAAUCGGAUUUACUGGGCGUAAAGCGCGCGUAGGUGGCUAAUUAAGUCAAAUGUGAAAUCCCCGAGCUUAACUUGGGAAUUGCAUUCGAUACUGGUUAGCUAGAGUAUGGGAGAGGAUGGUAGAAUUCCAGGUGUAGCGGUGAAAUGCGUAGAGAUCUGGAGGAAUACCGAUGGCGAAGGCAGCCAUCUGGCCUAAUACUGACACUGAGGUGCGAAAGCAUGGGGAGCAAACAGG
rnacentral:rRNA from 1 species